rfam:Exophiala sideris strain CBS 121828 unplaced genomic scaffold supercont1.2, whole genome shotgun sequence.
GGAUUGUUAGCUCAGUGGUUAGAGCGACAGGGGAUUAUAGGAGCCGGCCUGACCCAUUCAGAUUGAAUGGCGAAGUCCCGGCUCCUAGCCUGCAGGCCGUAGGUUCGAUUCCUACACAAUCCA